rnacentral:rRNA from 1 species
GACGAACGCUGGCGGCGUGCUUAACACAUGCAAGUCGAACGAAGAGCGAUGGAAGCUUGCUUCUAUCAAUCUUAGUGGCGAACGGGUGAGUAACGCGUAAUCAACCUGCCCUUCAGAGGGGGAUAACAGUUGGAAACGACUGCUAAUACCGCAUACGAUCUAAUCUCGGCAUCGAGGAUAGAUGAAAGGUGGCCUCUACAUGUAAGCUAUCACUGAAGGAGGGGAUUGCGUCUGAUUAGCUAGUUGGAGGGGUAACGGCCCACCAAGGCGAUGAUCAGUAGCCGGUCUGAGAGGAUGAACGGCCACAUUGGGACUGAGACACGGCCUAGACUCCUACGGGAGGCAGCAGUGGGGAAUCUUCCGCAAUGGACGAAAGUCUGACGGAGCAACGCCGCGUGAGUGAUGACGGCCUUCGGGUUGUAAAGCUCUGUUAAUCGGGACGAAAGGCCUUCUUGCGAA